rnacentral:rRNA from 1 species
AACGAACGCUGGCGGCAUGCCUAACACAUGCAAGUCGAACGAGACCUUCGGGUCUAGUGGCGCACGGGUGCGUAACGCGUGGGAACCUGCACUUAGGUUCGGAAUAACUCCCCGAAAGGGGUGCUAAUACCGGAUAAUGUCUUAGGACCAAAGAUUUAUCGCCUUUGGAUGGGCCCGGGUUGGAUUAGCUAGUUGGUAGGGUAAAAGCCUACCAAGGCGACGAUCCAUAGCUGGUCUGAGAGGAUGAUCAGCCACACUGGGACUGAGACACGGCCCAGACUCCUACGGGAGGCAGCAGUGGGGAAUAUUGGACAAUGGGCGAAAGCCUGAUCCAGCAAUGCCGCGUGAGUGAUGAAGGCCUUAGGGUUGUAAAGCUCUUUUACCCGGGAUGAUAAUGACAGUACCGGGAGAAUAAGCGCCGGCUAACUCCGUG